rnacentral:misc_RNA from 1 species
CACCAAUCGAAAUUCAAACUCGAAUAACCAAUAAUUAUCAUAGGAUCACACAUCCGUCCCUCAAAGGUCUUUCAUUCCAAAUCCAACCACUUCCCACUUCAGACAAUUUUUGCUUCAGAAUAUUACACCUGCAACAAAAAUUUUAAUGUGGGUAUGAUAAAUUCCAACCGAACGUAGUUGCUACGUCACACCCAAAAUUUGUACACAACAUAAUCAGUAAACUUCUAAUUAUACAAACAUGUACCGCAGCAUACAUUAAAACGUCUUCUUUUCAACUUCCAACUUAAGUGAACUUUCUUCCCCACGUUUUAGUCACUUGACUCAUUUCUAAGUUACAUAUAGAAGACAACAAUAUCAACUAAAUCCCUUCCUUGAAUGUACACAACGUGGAUAGCACAUUUAUCCAUAAACUUCUGAUCAAUUAACCGUUUACAUUUCUCAACCUUGCAACCAGUUCAUCCUGUACACAUCAUGCAAUGAAUCAGAUAGACAGAUGCAAAAUGAGAUUUCUAAUUCUGAAAUUUAUCGUCAAUCUGAGAAACAUGACUAGCUAAAAGAAGUCCACACUAAAUUCCUGUGAGUGUUUUUAUACUUACCUUCUUUCCUCUGGGUGAAAGACCCCGCUCCUUCAGAAGAGCACGAAGCCUUUCUACUGUCAAACUGUACAAGUCCCUAUCACCUGCUCGGCUAUCAGAUCCCUCUACACACCCAAAGGCAUUUAAAACUCAGAAGAUAAUACCAGUAAAUUGAAUAGCAGUAAAUGAAUGAAACAUGCCCUGCAUAUGAAACUUGCUGACAUUUAAGGCAGACAGGAUUCUCCGAAUUGAUGGCAUUUAGACAAAAAAAUCACCCCAUAUUGCUUUCUGGUAAUUUUUUAACAAGACACUUCUUAACUAUUCUUCAUUAUCCUACAAUGUCAUCGGCCAUUUUUGAAUGCCCGAUUUACAAAUAUACCAACCAAAGAAAACAAGGGCAUAUGGAUUCUGCUGAACAUGAAAAAGCAAAUGAGGAUUCAUGUGUCUAGAAGCCAUUGGUGCAUAAAGACCAAAAUUAUAAGAAACAAAUAAUUUACAGAACAAACCUUAAAAUACCAUACGAGGAUUCUUUGCUUGGGGGAAAAACAUUAUCGGUUGAUUUGGUGGUGGGAACCAGAAACAGGGUAAAUGAUAUUGAAUGAUCUUUAUUGCCGUUACCCAUUCAAAAAUGAUGUACUUACAUACCAAAUAAUGAUGAAUGCCAAUGCAAAAGAAAGACUACCAGAGCUCACCUUGCCGAGAACCAGUUUGACUAUUGCUUCUUUUAGCUGAAGCCCUGCCAUCCUGAACCCUUUCUGAAGCACGCUUUCUAGAACCCUCUGCUGCAGUUACUCCCUUCAUAUCCUUUGAACUGGAAUCACCCUUUUGUUUCUUCAGCUGAAGCGAUCUAAUCAAUAUGUUUGUUUGAUUAGUCUUUAUCUCUUGGCCCUCUGGAGGCAACGUAUCAUGCUCACAGAUGUAGACUCGCAUCCCACCCUGUACAAAAAUUCUUAACAUGUGAACAAAAAUUCAAUAUGAAAGAAAACUCUAUUGGAAGAGAACUCUAAUCAAUUUAAAAGAAAAGGCAAUGUCCAGUUACAUGAACAAAACCAAUAAUACAAAUACUCAAGAAAUAGACCAAGAAAAGAAGAUAACAAGAUCAACACCUGAAAUAUUGGCAUCAUUCAAAUCUUUCCAAAUCAAGGAAACCUCAAGAAAUAUCGCAAUUUAUGCAAAGAAUCUACACAAAAACUUAGGCAAGUUUUUCUUUAAGCAUCUUUUUAAAUAUUAAAAUAAGAAUAAGGUAUACAAUAUACAGCACACGAAAUAAAACCAGGAUAAAUCAAAUAAAGUUAAAAUCUUACAUAUUAGUUAUGAAAAAGAUGACUUAAUAACUCCUUAUUAGAAGGCAUAGUACUAUCCUUUUCAUUUAAUCUGUAAUUAUCGUAUGGUAAAGUGUGCUCAUUGCAGGCUUGGUAGUGAACAUUGAGGGCAAGCUUACACAUAAUAUAUUAAUAUUAGUGACAAACAAGAUGAUAUAUUAUCAUUUCUUCAUUCAUUGAAACAAAGGCUCUCAAAAGGUAGAUGUGUGAUAAGACCCUUGAUCACACCAAUGAAUACUUCCAUGCACAUGCCAAUGUCAAAAAGAAACACCUUCAACUUUGACCAUUAAUAUGGAACAAUCAAAAAGCAAUAUCUAUUUACAAUUUACAUAUUCAAAACCCAUAAUUAGAGAUACAACAACAAUAAGGUUCUUUGAGCUGGAAGACUAACUAUUCACUCUUGAGAGAUAGUCAUAUUAACAAAGCAACUUGGCAAUAAAGGAAUAAAUUAUUAAAUGCAUCUAAAGCAUCUCUACUAUCUAAUGUAUAACACGAUGUGCAUUGGUACGUAGUUUAAUAAAGUGCAAUCAUUGAGCCUUUAAAUAAAAUUCACAAAUGCAGAACCUUGAAAAUUAUUCAUCAAAGGUGGGGAGGUGCUUAAGAUUGUUUAUAAGGACCUAGAUCACAACAAAGUUCGUGGUGGGGGAAAAAUAAUUUCAAAACUCUAAAAACAGAAAUAUAAAAACCUACAACUUCUAACUUCUUGUUAAUUAAAGCAAACAGGAUGCCUUAAAGAGGAUAGCCUUGUUCAAUUGCUCAAAAACUGGAAUAAUUUUAGUCCAGUUCAUUUAAAUCAAAUCCAAACCUCACAAUACAACACGCAACUGCUACACUAUAGCCAUAAAUAUUAUAAUGUCAAUACUCAUUCUCACACAUGACACUUGGAUACAACCACAGAGGCAUCUCUAAUACAGCACUCCUAGUAUCUGCCACCCAUCACAACUGGCAAAAGAUACAUGCCAAAGGACUAAUUUCAUUAACCGUACAAAAUAAUCUACCCAACUUGCCGUCAAUUAAGCUCUUACUUUCCUGGAAUUCCUAUGGA